rnacentral:rRNA from 1 species
GACGAACGCUGGCGGCGUGCUUAACACAUGCAAGUCGAACGGAAAGGCCCUGCUUUUGUGGGGUGCUCGAGUGGCGAACGGGUGAGUAACACGUGAGUAACCUGCCCUUGACUUUGGGAUAACUUCAGGAAACUGGGGCUAAUACCGGAUAGGAGCUCCUGCUGCAUGGUGGGGGUUGGAAAGUUUCGGCGGUUGGGGAUGGACUCGCGGCUUAUCAGCUUGUUGGUGGGGUAGUGGCUUACCAAGGCUUUGACGGGUACCCGGCCUGAGAGGGUGACCGGCCACAUUGGGACUGAGAUACGGCCCAGACUCCUACGGGAGGCAGCAGUGGGGAAUAUUGCACAAUGGGCGGAAGCCUGAUGCAGCAACGCCGCGUGCGGGAUGACGGCCUUCGGGUUGUAAACCGCUUUCGCCUGUGACGAAGCGUGAGGGACGGUAAUGGGUAAAGAAGCACCGGCUAACUACGUG